rnacentral:misc_RNA from 1 species
UCCCGGUUGGCCCGGGCAGUCUCGUAUGAAAAAACAACAUACGACAAGGGUUGCGCUCGUUGCGGGACUUAACCCAACAUCUCACGACACGAGCUGACGACGGCCAUGCAGCAUCUGUCACCAGGUUCCCGAAGGCACAUCCAUCUUUCGACGGACUUCCUGGGAUGUCAAACCUCGGUAAGGUUCUGCGCGUUGCUUCGGAUUAAACCACAUCCUCCACCGCUUGUGCGGGUCCCCGUCAAUUCCUUUGAGUUUUAAACUUGCGUUCGUACUCCCCAGGCGGAUCACUUAACGCGUUAGCUUCGUAACGCAAGGGGUCGAAACCCCACAUUACUAGUGAUCAUCGUUUACGGCGUGGACUAC